GACGAACGCUGGCGGCGUGCUUAACCCAUGCAAGUCGAACGAUGAACCGGAGCUUGCUCUGGGGAUUAGUGGCGAACGGGUGAGUAACACGUGGGCACCCUGCCCCAGACACCGGGAUAACCAUUCGAAAGGAUGGCUAAUACCGGCUACGACCACUUCGGGCAUCCGAUGGUGGUGGACAGGAUUCUGGUCUGGGAUGGGCCCGCGGCCUAUCAGCUUGUUGGUGGGGUAAUGGCCUACCAAGGCGACGACGGGUAGCCGGCCUGGGAGGGCGACCGGCCACACUGGGACUGGGACACGGCCCAGACUCCUACGGGAGGCAGCAGUGGGGAAUGUUGCGCAAUGGGCGAAAGCCUGACGCAGCGACGCCGCGUGAGGGACGAAGGUCUUCGGAUUGUAAACCUCUUUCAGCAGGGAUGAAGCGAAAGUGACAGUACCUGCAGAAGAAGCACCGGCUAACUACGUGCCAGCAGCCGCGGUAACAC
rnacentral:rRNA from 1 species